GGGGGUGCCGUUCAGGGGUAGAGCAUUUGACUGCAGAUCAAGAGGUCCCUGGUUCAAAUCCAGGUGCCCCCU
rnacentral:tRNA from 1 species